rnacentral:rRNA from 1 species
GCAAGACGAACGGAUGCGAAAGCGUUUGCCAAGAAUGUUUUCGCUAAUCAAGAACGAAAGUUAGAGGUUCGAAGGCGAUCAGAUACCGCCCUAGUUCUAACCAUAAACGAUGCCAGCCAGCGAUGCGCCGAAGUUCCUCCGAUGACUCGGCGCGCAACUUCCGGGAAACCAAAGCCUUUGGGUUCCGGGGGAAGUAUGGUUGCAAAGCUGAAACUUAAAGGAAUUGACGGAAGGGCACCACCAGGAGUGGAGCCUGCGGCUUAAUUUGACUCAACACGGGAAACCUCACCAGGCCCGGACAUCGGUAGGAUUGACAGAUUGAGAGCUCUUUCUUGAUUCGAUGGGUGGUGGUGCAUGGCCGUUCUUAGUUGGUGGAGCGAUUUGUCUGGUUAAUUCCGAUAACGAACGAGAC